GCUGGUGUGGCUCAGUGGUUGAGCGUCUGCCUUUGGCUCAGGUCGUGACCCCAGGGUCCUGGGAUCAAGUCCUGCAUCAGCU
rnacentral:tRNA from 1 species